rnacentral:rRNA from 1 species
GACGACCGGCGCACGGGUGAGUAACGCGUAUGCAACCUACCUUUUACAGGAGGAUAGCCCAGAGAAAUUUGGAUUAAUACUCCAUAGUACUAAUGAAUCACCUGGUUCAUUAGUUAAAACUCCGGUGGUAAAAGAUGGGCAUGCGUGUCAUUAGCUAGUUGGUAAGGUAACGGCUUACCAAGGCGAAGAUGACUAGGGGUUCUGAGAGGAAGAUCCCCCACACUGGUACUGAGACACGGACCAGACUCCUACGGGAGGCAGCAGUGAGGAAUAUUGGUCAAUGGGUGAGAGCCUGAACCAGCCAUGUCGCGUGAAGGAAGACUGCCCUAUGGGUUGUAAACUUCUUUUCUGCAGGAAGAAAUCACUCUACGUGUAGGGUGUUGCCGGUACUGCAGGAAUAAGCAUAGGCUAACUCCGUGCCAGAAGCCAGCGGUAAUACGGAGGAUGCAAGAGUAAUCCGGAUAUAUUGGGUAUAAGAGGGUGCAAUAAGCGGGCUUGUAAGUCAGUGGUGAAAUGCUGUGGCUUAACCAUAGAAUUGCCAUUGAAACUGCAAGUCUUGAGUACAGUUGAGGUGGGCGGAAUGAGUAAUGUAGCGGUGAAAUGCAUAGAUAUUACUCAGAACUCCGAUUGCGUAGGCAGCUUGCUAAACUGUAACUGACGCUGAUGCACGAAAGCGUGGGGAGCGAACAGGAUUAGAUACCCUGGUAGUCCACGCUGUAAACGAUGAGCACUGGUUGUUGGCAAUACACCGUCAGCGACUGAGCGAAAGUAUUAAGUGCUCCACCUGGGGAGUACGUCGGCAACGAUGAAACUCAAAGGAAUUGACGGGGGCCCGCACAAGCGGAGGAACAUGUGGUUUAAUUCGAUGAUACGCGAGGAACCUUACCUGGGCUUAAAUGUAGAGUGCAUUGUUUGGAAACAAACAUUUUCUUCGGAACUCUUUACAAGGUGCUGCAUGGUUGUCGUCAGCUCGUGCCGUGAGGUGUCGGGUUAAGUCCCAUAACGAGCGCAACCCCUAUUGUUAGUUACCAGCACGUAAUGGUGGGGACUCUAGCAAGACUGCCGGUGUAAACCGUGAGGAAGGUGGGGAUGACGUCAAAUCAGCACGGCCCUUAUGUCCAGGGCUACACACGUGUUACAAUGGCAAGUACAAAGAGCAGCCACCUGGCGACAGGGCGCUAAUCUCAAAAGCUUGCCUCAGUUCGGAUCGAAGUCUGCAACUCGACUUCGUGAAGGUGGAUUCGCUAGUAAUCGCGCAUCAGCCAUGGCGCGGUGAAUACGUUCCCGGGCAUUGUACACACCGCCCGUCAAGCCAUGGAAGCUGGGGGUACCUGAAGUCCGUAACCGCAAGGA